rnacentral:lncRNA from 1 species
AUUUCAGGUACUCAGAUGUCCCAAGAGAGCUCCUCUUCAAUAUGGACAAUCGCGGCCAGCUGCAAAGGAGGAAUGGACAGUGACACGACCAGCUGUCUCUUGGACACAGGUGGCUGGCCAACACCCAGGGCUGAGGCUGGACUUGCCUUGACCUGGCCUGACAGCUCAUUUUGGUCACUGUGGCAAAGGAGACAGCUGCCCAUGAGGGCCAGGCAGGUCUUUGGCUGGUUGCCCAAAUCAAUGGGAAUGGACCAGUUACCUCUUGGGACUGCAGAGAACAAUGGCCUCGGAGUGCUCANNNNNNNNNNNNNNNNNCUCCAGCAGACCCUUCUCCAGUCAGACUCUCAGCUUGCUGUGGUCCAGAGCCCACCAUGCGGCCUGCCAUGCAGCCCACCAUCCCCGCUCUUGACAUCUUCUCUCCAUUCUAUCCCAGUCUGUAACAUCAGAAGGACUUCAAACUCCUCGAGCUCUGUGGCUGGUCCUUUGGCACCCUUGGGGCCUCCCUCUGGCAAGGCAUGA